rnacentral:rRNA from 1 species
UACGAACUGUGCGAACGUUAUUCGGAAUCACUGGGCUUACAGGGUGCGUAGGCGGCUAUUCAGGUCAGGUGUGAAAGCCCCCGGGCUCAACCUGGGAAUUGCAUUCGAGACUGCAUUGCUGGAGUACGGAAGAGGAAGGCGGAAUUCCCGGUGUAGCGGUGAAAUGCGUAGAUAUCGGGAGGAACAUCAGUGGCGAAGGCGGCCUUCUGGUCCAGUACUGACACUCAAGUGCGAAA